rnacentral:rRNA from 1 species
AACGAACGCUGGCGGCAUGCCUAACACAUGCAAGUCGAACGAGACCUUCGGGUCGAGUGGCGCACGGGUGCGUAACGCGUGGGAACCUGCCCUUAGGUUCGGAAUAACUCCCCGAAAGGGGUGCUAAAACCGGAUAAUGUCUUCGGACCAAAGAUUUAUCGCCUUUGGAUGGGCGCGCGUUGGAUUAGCUAGUUGGUAGGGUAAAAGCCUACCAAGGGGACGAUGGGUAGCUGGUCUGAGAGGAUGAUCAGGCACACUGGGACUGAGACACGGCCCAGAGUCCAACGGGCGGCAGCAGUGGAGAGUAUGGCACAGCGGGGGGGAGCCUGUGGUGACAACGUCGGGUGCGGGAUGAUGGGCUUAGGGUUGUGAACCGUUUUCAGGAGGGGAGAAGCUGGAGGUGACGGUACCUGCAGAAGAAGCACCGGCUAACUACGUG